GCCCUCAUAGCUCAGACGGUAGAGCACGUUCUUGGUAAGAACGGGGUCAGGGGUUCAAUUCCCCUUGAGGGCUCUA
rnacentral:tRNA from 1 species